UACCAGCACCCCGAGUGGUCGGGACGUUUAUUGGGCCUAAAGCAUCCGUAGCCGGUUCUACAAGUCUUCCGUUAAAUCCACCUGCUUAACAGAUGGGCUGCGGAAGAUACUAUAGAGCUAGGAGGCGGGAGAGGCAAGCGGUACUCGAUGGGUAGGGGUAAAAUCCGUUGAUCCAUUGAAGACCACCAGUGGCGAAGGCGGCUACCUGGACCGGUACUGACGCUGAGGCGCGAAAGCCAGGGGAGCGAAUGGG
rnacentral:rRNA from 1 species